rnacentral:rRNA from 1 species
UGGAGAGUUUGAUCCUGGCUCAGAUUGAACGCUGGCGGCAGGCCUAACACAUGCAAGUCGAGCGGAAACGAGUUAUUCUGAACCUUCGGGGGACGAUAACGGCGUCGAGCGGCGGACGGGUGAGUAAUGCCUAGGAAAUUGCCCUGGUGUGGGGGAUAACCAUUGGAAACGAUGGCUAAUACCGCAUAAUACCUUCGGGUCAAAGAGGGGGACCUUCGGGCCUCUCGCGUCAGGAUAUGCCUAGGUGGGAUUAGCUAGUUGGUGAGGUAAUGGCUCACCAAGGCGACGAUCCCUAGCUGGUCUGAGAGGAUGAUCAGCCACACUGGAACUGAGACACGGUCCAGACUCCUACGGGAGGCAGCAGUGGGGAAUAUUGCACAAUGGGCGCAAGCCUGAUGCAGCCAUGCCGCGUGUGUGAAGAAGGCCUUCGGGUUGUAAAGCACUUUCAGUCGUGAGGAAGGUAGUGUAGUUAAUAGCUGCAUUAUUUGACGUUAGCGACAGAAGAAGCACCGGCUAACUCCGUGCCAGCAGCCGCGGUAAUA